rfam:TPA: Bos taurus chromosome 19, whole genome shotgun sequence.
UCCCUGGUGGCUCAGAGGUUAAAGUGUCUGCCUCCAAUGUAGGAGACCCAGUUUCGAUCCCUGGGUUGGGAA